rnacentral:rRNA from 1 species
GACGAACGCUGGCGGCGUGCUUAACACAUGCAAGUCGAACGGAAAGGCCCUGCGUUUGUGGGGUGCUCGAGUGCCGAACGGGUGAGUAACACGUGAGUAACCUGCCCUUGUCUUUGGGAUAACUCCAGGAAACUGGGGCUCAUACCGGAUAGGAGCUCCUGCUGCAUGGUGGGGGUUGGAAAGUUUCGGCGGUUGGGGAUGGACUCGCGGCUUAUCAGCUUGUUUGUGGGGUAGUGGCUUACCAAGGCUUUGACGGGUAGCCGGCCUGAGAGGGGGACCGGCCACAAUGGGACUGAGAUACGGCCCAGACUCCUACGGGAGGCAGCGGUGGGGAAUAUGGCGGAGUGGGCGGAAGCGUGAUGCAGCAGCGCCGCGUGCGGGAUGACGUCCUUCGGGGUAUAAACCGCUGUCGCCGGUGACGAAGCGGGAGUGACGGUAAUGGGUAAGGAAGCACCGGCUAACUACGUG